AUUGAACGCUGGCGGCGUGCUUAACACAUGCAAGUCGAACGAAGUGGCGAACGGGUGAGUAACGCGUAAUCAACCUGCCCUUCAGAGGGGGACAACAGUUGGAAACGACUGCUAAUACCGCAUACUGAAGGAGGGGAUUGCGUCUGAUUAGCUAGUUGGAGGGGUAACGGCCCACCAAGGCGAUGAUCAGUAGCCGGUCGGGGAGGGUGAACGGCCACAAUGGGACUGAGACACGGGCCCGACUCCUUCGGGAGGCAGCAGGGGGGAAUCUUCCGGAAUGGACGGAAGUCUGACGGAGCAACGCCGCGUGAGGGAUGACGGCCUUCGGGUUGUAAAGCUCUGUUAAUCGGGACGCGGUACCGGAAUAGAAAGCCACGGCUAACUACGUGCCAGCAGCCGCGGUAAUAC
rnacentral:rRNA from 1 species